CCUACGGGAGGCUGCAGUGGGGAAUAUUGGACAAUGGGCGAAAGCCUGAUCCAGCCAUGCCGCGUGUGUGAAGAAGGCCUUCGGGUUGUAAAGCACUUUCAGUGGGGAAGAAAGCCUUGGGGCUAAUACCCUCGAGGAAGGACAUCACCCACAGAAGAAGCACCGGCUAACUCCGUGCCAGCAGCCGCGGUAAUACGGAGGGUGCGAGCGUUAAUCGGAAUUACUGGGCGUAAAGCGCGCGUAGGCGGUCUGAUAAGCCGGUUGUGAAAGCCCCGGGCUCAACCUGGGAACGGCAUCCGGAACUGUCAGGCUAGAGGGCAGGAGAGGAAGGUAGAAUUCCCGGUGUAGCGGUGAAAUGCGGAGGGAUCGGGAGGGAUACCAGUGGCGAAGGCGGCCUUCUGGACUGACACUGACGCUGAGGUGCGAAAGCGUGGGUAGCAAACAGGAUUAGGUACCCCAGUAGUC
rnacentral:rRNA from 1 species